rnacentral:tRNA from 1 species
GCCUGGUUCGUUCAGUUGGUAGAGCAUGUGACUCUUGAUCUCGGGAUUGUGAGUUCAAGCACACAUUAGGCA